rnacentral:ncRNA from 1 species
UGCAUGGGGAUGUCCGCGAUCACCCCGUGAGGCCUCGGCCGAAGCAUCGCGUCCAGAACUCCCGCAUACGGAGAGGACGCCCAUG